rnacentral:rRNA from 1 species
UACAGAGGGUGCAAGCGUUAAUCGGAUUUACUGGGCGUAAAGGGCGCGUAGGUGGUUGUUUAAGUGAGAUGUGGAAGCCCCGGGCUCAACCUGGGAACUGCAUCUUAUACUGGGCAACUGGAGUACAUGAGAGGGUAGUGGAAUUUCCGGUGUAGCGGUGAAAUGCGUAGAUAUCGGAAGGAACACCAGUGGCGAAGGCGGCUACCUGGCAUGAUACUGACACUGAGGCGCGAGAGCGUGGGGAGCAAACAGG